GUGCCAGCAGCCGCGGUAAUACGGAGGAUGCAAGCGUUAUCCGGAUUUAUUGGGUUUAAAGCGUGCGUAGGCUGACGUGUAAGUCAGAGGUGAAAUCUCCGGGCUCAACCUGGGAACUGCCUUUGAUACUGCAUGUCUGGAGUUCGGAUGCCGUGGGAGGAAUGGGCAGUGUAGCGGUGAAAUGCAUAGAUAUUGCCCAGAACACCGAUUGCGAAGGCAUCUCACGAAUCCGACACUGACGCUGAGGCACGAAAGCGUGGGGAUCAAACAGGAUUAGAUACCCUGGUAGUCCACGCAGUAAACGAUGAUAACUAACCGUCGGCGAUAGACAGUCGGUGGCCAAGCGAAAGCGAUAAGUUAUCCACCUGGGGAGUACGUUCGCAAGAAUGAAACUCAAAGGAAUUGACGGGGGCCCGCACAAGCGGAGGAACAUGUGGUUUAAUUCGAUGAUACGCGAGGAACCUUACCCGGGCUCGAACGGUGCAGGAAGGAUCAAGAGAUUGUGACGCCCUUCGGGGCCUGCAUCGAGGUGCUGCAUGGUUGUCGUCAGCUCGUGCCGUGAGGUGUCGGCUCAAGUGCCAUAACGAGCGCAACCCUUGCUUCCAGUUACCAGCAUGUAAAGAUGGGGACUCUGGAAGGACUGCCACCGCAAGGUGAGAGGAAGGGGGGGAUGACGUCAAAUCAGCACGGCCCUUACGUCCGGGGCGACACACGUGUUACAAUGGCGGCCACAGAGGGAAGCCACCCUGCGAAGGGGAGCGAAUCUCGAAAAGCCGUCUCAGUUCGGAUCGGAGUCUGCAACCCGACUCCGUGAAGCUGGAUUCGCUAGUAAUCGCGCAUCAGCCAUGGCGCGGUGAAUACGUUCCCGGGCCUUGUACACACCGCCCGU
rnacentral:rRNA from 1 species